rnacentral:rRNA from 1 species
UUGAACGCUGGCGGCAGGCCUAACACAUGCAAGUCUACGAGAAAGUUUCUUUAGGGAAGCAAGUAAAGUGGCGCACGGGUGAGUAACACGUAAGUAAUCUACCUCUGGAUUUGGAAUAACCCCGAGAAAUCGGGGCUAAUACCAAAUGAUGCAGCGGCACCACAUGGUGAUGUUGUUAAAGUCUAUAUGGCGUCUAGAGAUGAACUUGCGUCUGAUUAGCUUGUUGGUAAGGUUAUGGCUUACCAAGGCAACGAUCAGUAGCUGGUCUGAGAGGAUGAUCAGCCACACUGGAACUGAGACACGGUCCAGACUCCUACGGGAAGGCAGCAGUGAGGAAUAUUGGGCAAUGCCCGAAAGGGUGACCCAGCAACGCCGCGUGGAGGAUGAAUGUCGUAAGAUUGUAAACUCCUGUUAGAGGGGAAGAACAAUCCCGAUCGACUCGGGACAUGACUGUACCCUCAGAGAAAGCUCCGGCUAACUACGUG